AGCGAACGCUGGCGGCAGGCUUAACACAUGCAAGUCGAGCGGGCAUCUUCGGAUGUCAGCGGCAGACGGGUGAGUAACACGUGGGAACGUACCCUUCGGUUCGGAACAACUCUGGGAAACUGGAUCUAAUACCGGAUACGCCCUUAUGGGGAAAGGUUUACUGCCGAAGGAUCGGCCCGCGUCUGAUUAGCUAGUUGGUGGGGUAACGGCCUACCAAGGCGACGAUCAGUAGCUGGUCUGAGAGGAUGAUCAGCCACACUGGGACUGAGACACGGCCCAGACUCCUACGGGAGGCAGCAGUGGGGAAUAUUGGACAAUGGGCGCAAGCCUGAUCCAGCCAUGCCGCGUGAGUGAUGAAGGCCUUAGGGUUGUAAAGCUCUUCUGUCCGGGACGAUAAUGACGGUACCGGAAGAAUAAGCCCCGGCUAACUUCGU
rnacentral:rRNA from 1 species